GAUGAACGCUAGCUAUAGGCUUAACACAUGCAAGUCGAGGGACCGGCGCACGGGUGAGUAACGCGUAUCCAACCUGCCCAUAACUAAGGGAUAACCCAGCGAAAGUUGGACUAAUACCUUAUGGUUAUGGAUGGGGAUGCGUCUGAUUAGCUUGUUGGCGGGGUAACGGCCCACCAAGGCAACGAUACGUAGGGGUUCUGAGAGGAAGGUCCCCUAGAGUGGAACUGAGACCCGGUCCAAACUCGUACGGGCGGCAGCAGUGAGGAAUAUUGGGGACUGGACGCAAGUCUGAACCAGCCAAGUAGCGGGCAGGGUGACGGCCUUUGGGUUGUAAACUGCUUUUAUAUGGGGAGAGGUACCAUAUGAAUAAGGACCGGCUAAUUCCGUGCCAGCCGCCGCGGUAAUAC
rnacentral:rRNA from 1 species